rnacentral:rRNA from 1 species
GAUGAACGCUGGCGGCGUGCCUAAUACAUGCAAGUCGAGCGAACGGACGAGAAGCUUGCUUCUCUGAUGUUAGCGGCGGACGGGUGAGUAACACGUGGAUAACCUACCUAUAAGACUGGGAUAACUUCGGGAAACCGUAGCUAAUACCGGAUAAUAUUUUGAACCGCAUGGUUCAAAAGUGAAAGACGGUCUUGCUGUCACUUAUAGAUGGUUCCGCGCUGCAUUAGCUAGUUGGUAAGGUAACGGCUUACCAAGGCAACGAUGCAUAGCCGACCUGAGAGGGUGAUCGGCCACACUGGAACUGAGACACGGUCCAGACUCCUACGGGAGGCAGCAGUGGGGAAUCUUCCGCAAUGGGCGAAAGCCUGACGGAGCAACGCCGCGUGAGUGAUGAAGGUCUUCGGAUCGUAAAACUCUGUUAUUAGGGAAGAACAUAUGUGUAAGUAACUGUGCACAUCUUGACGGUACCUAAUCAGAAAGCCACGGCUAACUACGUG